UGCUUGCUUCCACAGCACAAUGCUAACACCGGAGCCGUGCAGAGAUUAGCAUGGCCCCUGUGCAAGGAGGACACGCAAAUUCGCGAAGUGUUCCUUAUUUAA